UACGGAGGGGGCUAGCGUUGUUCGGAAUUACUGGGCGUAAAGGGCUCGUAGGCGGCCAACUAAGUCGGAUGUGAAAUCCCCAGGCUUAACCUGGGAACUGCAUCCGAUACUGGAUGGCUUGAAUUCGGGAGAGGGAUGCAGAAUUCCAGGUGUAGCGGUGAAAUGCGUAGAUAUCGAGAGGAACACCGGUGGCGAAGGCGGCUACCUGGACGGUGACUGGACGCUGAGACGCGAAAGCGUGGGGGAGCAAACAGG
rnacentral:rRNA from 1 species